rnacentral:rRNA from 1 species
GCUUGUCUCAAAGAUUAAGCCAUGCAUGUCUAAGUGUAAAUACGUCUACACUGUGAAACUGCGAAUGGCUCAUUAAAUCAGUUAUCGUUUAUUUGAUGAUCUCUUGUUACAUGGAUAACCGUAGUAAUUCUAGAGCUAAUACAUGCGUCAAGCCCCGACUCACGAAGGGGUGUAUUUAUUAGAUUCAAAGCCAACCGCGCAAGCGUACCUUGGUGAUUCAUAAUAACUUUCGGAUCGUUUACGAUGCAUCAUUCAAGUUUCUGCCCUAUCAGCUUUGGAUGGUAGGGUAUUGGCCUACCAUGGCUUUAACGGGUAACGGAGAAUUAGGGUUCGAUUCCGGAGAGGGAGCCUGAGAAAUGGCUACCACAUCCAAGGAAGGCAGCAGG